GUCAGGAUGGCCGAGCGGUCCAAGGCGCUGUGUUCAGGUCGCAGUCCACUCUGUGGGCGUGGGUUCGAAUCCCACUCCUUACA
rfam:Schistosoma mansoni strain Puerto Rico chromosome 2, complete genome